AUUGAACGCUGGCGGCAGGCUUAACACAUGCAAGUCGAGCGCGCGGCGGGCGGGUGAGUGAUGUCUGGGAAACUGCCUGACGGAGGGGGAUGACUACUGGAAACGGUAGAUAAUACUGCCUACCAUCAGAUGUGCCCAGAUGUGAUUAGCUAGGAGGUGGGGUAAGUGCUCACCUAGGCGACGAUCCCUAGCUGGUCUGAGAGGAUGACCAGUCACACUGGAACUGAGAAACGGUCCAGACUACUACGGGAGGAAGCAGUGGGGAAUAUUGCACAAGGGGCGCAAGCCUGAUAGAGCCAUGCCGCGUGUGUGAAGAAGGCCUUGGGGUUGUAAAGCACUUUCAGUGAGGAGGCGUUACUCGCAGAAGAAGCACCGGCUAACUCCGUGCCAGCAGCCGCGGUAAUAC
rnacentral:rRNA from 1 species